CGCCCUGGGUAGGUUCAGGCAGCUUCUCCUUUCCGAGAUUCGUUCUCCAAGCGCCUCCAUCAAUCUCUCAUCUUCGGCGGCGGGGUUCCGAACAAGAGCCAGAGUUUUCUGGGAAGCUCAGUCGCCCCAUCCUGCCGUACUCUUUCUCUCUCUCUGUCAAUAGGUGUUUGUGAAAGAUAUUGAUUGCAGAAGUGAAUUCUUCUGUAACAGGUAAAAGGGAAGGUACCCAGUGACCGACCCCCUUUUGUGUUCCUGAGGCAUGGAGACUUCUGGUGUUUCCGUCUCCUCUAGCGUCUCAGCAUCUCGCCCUCCUCCUAAAAGAUUCGUAAGGCAGCAAGUGCCGGAUUCAAUCUUGAACGACCCUGCGCUGAAGGCGGCCAUGUCCCUUCUUCCUUCCAACUACAAUCUGGAGGUUCCUAAGUGCAUCUGGAGGAUACGCCAAUCGGGGGCGAAGCGCGUGGCGCUUCAGUUCCCCGAGGGCUUGCUAAUGUAUUCACUGGUUAUCUGCGACAUCUUAGAGGCUUUUUCUGAUGUACAGGAAUGUUUUGUUCUUGGUGAUGUGACUUACGGUGCCUGCUGCAUUGAUGAUUUCUCUGCUUCUGCUCUCGGUGCUGAACUUCUGAUUCAUUAUGGUCAUAGCUGUUUGGUCCCCAUAGACGUAACUAGCAUUCCCUGCUUGUAUGUGUUUGUCGAUAUACAGAUUGAUGUAAAGCAUUUAGUUGAUACCGUAAAGAACCAAUUUGCACCUCACAUGAAGCUUGCAAUGGCGGGAACCAUCCAGUUUUCUUCUGCCAUCCAUGCCGCGAAAGCUGCCCUUGAAAGUGAUGCGGAUGCCGAUGCCUGUAGGCAGAUAAUUGUGCCCCAAUCAAAGCCAUUAUCAUCUGGGGAAGUAUUGGGGUGCACCUCUCCUUCUUUGCCCAAGGGAUCUGUGGACGCUGUAGUGUUUGUUGCAGACGGGCGGUUUCAUCUAGAAGCUUUUAUGAUUGCUAAUCCUGAGGUUGAAGCCUACCGCUAUGACCCUUACCUUAAGGUUUUGUUCUUAGAGAAGUAUGACCACAAUGGCAUGAAAGAAGCACGUAAGAAAGCCAUUCUUCAAGCUCGGGGAUCUCGGGUGUGGGGCGUUGUUCUCGGCACAUUAGGGCACCAGGGAAACCCUAGGACUCUUGAACAUGUACAGCGACGUCUGGCAGAGAAGGGGUAUGUGUCGAUGCUGGUUCUCUUGUCUGAGGUAACACCUUCUAAGAUCGCUUUGUUUGAGGAUUCUAUAGAUGCUUGGAUACAGAUAGCUUGUCCUCGUCUUUCGAUCGACUGGGGAGAGUCAUUCACUAAGCCCUUGCUUACACCAUUUGAGGCUGAAGUUGCACUUGGCUUUGUACACCCUUGGUGGGAAAAGAAAACUUCCUCUGUUGGUAAGGAAUGUAAAGUUGAUAGUUGUAAUGAGUGCUUGCCUUGCGGUAAAACUUCUGGUGUAUGUGCUGACGAAGCAAGUAAAACAGUGCUGCAGAGGGAAGAGCCUCAAAAGCAGGGAGAGAAUCAUGUAAAUGAUUAUCCAAUGGACUAUUAUGCUCAGGAUGGAGGACCAUGGAAUUCCUCGUAUGCUAGGAAGAAGGCUGCACAAGCUAGGUUAAAUAAGCUUUCUACUUCAGGUGGUACUGUGACCCUGUGAUUAGUUGUCAUGGAUGUGGUUAAUCCUAGUCCCUUGUCAUAUUAUUCUGUGCCUAAUGGGUCUAGAAAGCAAGGCAUGGAAAUUGAAACCUUAAGUUGGAGGCUGCAUCUUGGCUUCCUAGAGUCAUCUCUCUUUUCUGGUAGCCAUGGAGAGUCGUCCCAUGUCUCAAAGAAGGUUUAUUGGGCAAUCGACCUCUCUGGUUCUACUCAUAGUUCGAAGGAUUGAACAAACAGUGUCGAUAGUUGCGCUCACCAGAUCGGGUACCUUAUAGUGGGAUCAGCUUCGGCAACUUCGUCAAUCUACAUGGAAGAUUGGUUACAUGGUGGUUGUGACAGGCAUCUAUUGUUCAGGUUAAUCAGUACCAGCUGCAGUAUUACUGGAGUUGGUCUUAUAAAUUUGAAAGGAGACGAUGUAUGUUUGAUAUUUUAGGACGUAUUUCUAGUAAGCAUUUUCAAAUAAUCACUUACAUUGUCAGCAUUUUCGUCAUUUCAGUUCAAAAACGAGCAUUUUUGGAUGAUCAGACGAAUUCUCGAAAAAGUUCACUGUGCUUGAGACUUGUGCAUAAACGAGCAUUUUUGCAUGAUCAGACGAAUUCUCGAAAAAGUUCACUGUGCUUGAGAGACUUGUGCAUUUACCGAUCCAUCCCCUUCAGGAGGAUGGAAAAAAUCAUCCGGAGAGGCUAUCUGGGUGAGGGUUAUUUGUUUUCUGUAUGGGUGUAGAUACAUGAAAGGGUUUGGAAUGGUUCGUUUCUAUUCUUUCCUGUAGUUGGGUUCUGACAACAAUGGGAAGGGCCCACCAAGGUAGACAUUUGUUGAUCGAUGUACUUUUCAAACAGGUGCUUGUCUCAAACUCUUAGAUCGCUUAGUGUGAGCGCUUUAUCAUUCUGAUCUUAUGAAGAAAAUUAGUAUUGAAUCUGAUUCCAUUUACAGGAGUCGCAUAUUUUCUGGUGCAAACUUGUAAAGUAAUCUUUUGUGUUUCUUCUAUGAUAAAGCAACUUGGUUGCUCUAAUCCAUCUUUUCUGUCGUGAAAAUAAUAUUUCACUCCACUCCUUCCUCUUCUUUACUCAUAGCAAAUGGUGGUGCCUGCCUAGUGCUUUUGUUGCUAUGUUAUCCGAUUGCUUUAAAAGAUUAAAAUGGAUUUGGAGAGCAACAAGAAACAACUUGGGUUCUCAUCUGAGCAGAUCCCGUAUUUGUAUUUUCUGAUGGUAUAAUUUCACUUUACUCCUUCCUCUUGUAUACUUGAAGAGCAAAUUGUGAUAUCUGGGUAUGUACUGUUGUUACUCUAUUUAUAUUCCCAUGUACUUUGAAGUUGGAAAAUGAAUUUGAAAAGCAAAAAUUGUUGCACUGAAAUUUAGACGCUGGAUACUUGGAAAAAUUUCCAAGAUGAUUGGUUCCUAUUGUUAUUGGACCAUUGUGGAGAAAUUAUCAGAUAAGCCAUGUGUGGACAGCCUGACCGGUUCUUUGAUCAACAACUGUAAUUUAUUCUCCAUUGAUCAGCUAAACCUCCUAUCACCCCCAUGAUGUUUCAGAUGUCUGGCGUAUAGUCCUUAUUUGCCUUCACUUUCCAAUCACUUUUCACCAAAAGCGUCUCUAUUUUCUCACCUGGUUUGUCUUGCAGCUAUUUUCCCUGAUCAGGAACUUUCACAAUUUCUAUGAGCAAUGGUUGAACUUCACUUUGCUUUAGGGUCUUCCAUCUUCUGAGGGUUGAAGGAUGCUCUUACUGCUCUUACUGACUGGAUCUGAAUUCUCAUGUAAAACAUUUAUUUCGACAGGAGUGAACCCUAAGCUCUUCUGCAGCUUCCAUGUCUUUCGUAGGCCUUACGGUUAAAUGGACGUCAGUUAAAUGAGACUGAAUAUGUAGAAGCAUGUUUGUCCUGACGAGUUGCAGUUUGAAAAAUCAUUAGCCACACGUUUCAGCAAAGCUCCAUGCUGUUCAUGGGCACCACAGUUGAGUGUUAGACAAAUGCCUGUUUUCACUUCUCGGACAAUCAAGACAUUCUAGUUGAAUCUUUACAACUGAAGCAGAAGUGACCACUAGACACUGCAUAACAAUGCUCAACGUGAACGCAUGAUUGGACUGGUAGGCAUACCACACCAUCUGGACGGGGUAGAACCAGGGGUACAUCUUGCCUGCCUCCAUUUUCAACAUGAAGA